ensembl:lncRNA
UUAGUGGUAAAGGGAACAGCAACCUUGAAAAUUACUUUAGCACUGAUCAGAGCACUUUGUUGUUUGUUUGAUUUGAUGAUUGGUGCAUUAAAGCCAAUUCAGACAAAACCAUUUCUGGGGAACCCUUCCAGGUGUCCAUAGUGUCACCAAGGUUGGAAAAGGCCACCAUCAUCCAGUCCAACCAUCCACUUAUCACCAAUAUUUCCCACAAAAAUGUGUUCCUCAGUAUAAUGUCUAAACGUUUCAUGAACACCUUCAGGGAUGAUGACUCAAUCACCUCCCUGGGCAGCCCAUUUCAGUGCCUGACCAUUCUCUCAGAGAAGAAAUUUUUCCUAAUAUACUUCCAACAACUUAGCCUAGAUGUCAGUAAUAAAAGGUAAAUAAACAUAAACUGUAGCAGUGCAGUUGAAGGGACAGCCAGCUGUGCCCCAGAACAUCACUAACUGCUAGUGCAGAGAACAAUCCUUCAUGGUCCCUCAGGCUGUAAUUCACCAUCUGUACAUGCACAAAGCAGAUGUAGAAUGGUGUGACUCAAAUCUGCUGCUGGUCUCUACUCCACUACAGUCCUGGACCAGCACACAACAGUCCACACAACCAAUCCACAACACCAGCAGCAAAGAGAAAUCCCUCUCAUUUUUACCCUCUGGCAGGGUGUAGAGCCAGUUAAAGUCAAUGGGAGAAGCCUUCUGAACGACUCAGAAGGCAAAGACCUUGAUUUCCCAUUUCUCUUCAUCUGUGAGAGGAAAGUGAGGGUCUGACAAGUUUUGGGUGACAAAAUGAGGACAGGAAAAAAAGCAGAUGGGGAAAGAGAGUUCCUGAAGUUGUCUUAAAAGGCCAUUUCUAUUACAUAUCAAGCAGCUGAAUUCUGGCUGCUAACAGUGAAUAGUGAAGACUGAGGGCAGUGGCACUCCCCUAAACAAGACUUCAGUGUGACCCUCAUGAAGACAGGGAGAUUCAGGUACAUCUAGUGCAGCUGACGUGUUUUUGAAACAGCACACUGACUGGUUUAGAAGAAAGGUGGGGAAGCAGGCAGAUACUCACCUGAGACAAGGGACCUUGAGCCCACUCACCACAAAACUUGAGAGCAAUAAUUCUCCCCACUUAGUGAUGAAGUGCUCUCUCUCACUGACUCUCACACUCUCUUUUCCACAGAGUCUUCUAAUUUCACCUACUCAUUGUUGCUGUUUCUUUAAAUUGUAAUUGAAUAAUCUUUCAGAUUUUGGGGAAUCUGGAGAUAAAGCCCCUAUUUCUUGAAACAGAGAGUUGCUAAAUUAAAGAACUAACUAAAGAUACUUUGCUUGCACUGGAAAUUCUGUUUUACUAGCAACUAUUCUUAAGGAACCUUAUAAAGUCCCAGUGUUGUAUAUUUUCUGCUGAACAAGACUCUAAAUUUACGAAUACCUUGAUCUAUGUAUGUGUCUUAUUGAGAACUUGGACUUUAUCCUACAAGAUUUCUACCCUCAAUCUUUGAAAUCUCAAACAUACAGACACCUUUGGAAAUAACUUCUCCAAACUCAUUUAAAAUUUUCACUGAGUGUGCAGCUGUGGCUCCUAUUCACAUGCAAAAGCCCCAUGCAUAACAGGAGGAGGGAGCCAGUGGGGAAACUGAGACAUCCACGACUUCUUUUUGGACUUGCACAGCCAGUUAGUCACUGGAUGACAACAGAUUUUUGCUGGAUUUAAUGAAGGAAUUGAAACUCUAGAUGCUCAUUGAAGGCUUCAACCUGUUUUUUAGCAAGCUAGUAUGCCUUUCAAAAUACUCCUGGGAGACAGAAGCUAAAGCACACAGAGGAGAUGAUGCUGUACUUACCUCUGCAGAAUGCUAAUAAGGUCUGCUGGAAAAGAACCCCACAUUUUCUGUGAUGUACACCAUGCAGAACACUGUUGGCGGCAGGAAAAAAGUCAGUGCUUUUGGUAGCACUGGGCGUGUGCAUCUGUGACCUGCUGCUGGGAUACCAACUGAACCAGUCCUCUCCUAUGUGGGAGACAUAGCAAAAGGGCAUUCUAACCCUAAGAUAUUACUCAAGGAAAUAAAUAUAUAAUGUGUAUAUUAUAAUAAAAAUUAACGUCUUCCUAG